UCACAUAUGGUCAGUUACAUUUCUUGAAUGUGGCCCUGUGAGCAUUCCCAACGAAUAAACACCAUCUCUUUCUUUUCCAGAUCCCCCUAAGAACACCUCAGUUUCCGUCGAGCCCCCCGGUCCAGUGCAGGACGGCAGCUCUGUGACUCUGACCUGCACAACCGUCGCCAAUCCAGCAGCGGUUAACUUCACCUGGUUCCGAGUGGUGGGCAGAGAAAAUGAGCCGGUGGGCUCUGAGCGAGACUUCACCUUCAACGUGACCAAACUCUCAGAGGAUCAGUUUUACUGCGAAGCUCUGAACGUCCACGGAGCUGAACUCUCAGAGCCUGCCAGUUUCGACGUCACAUGUGAGAUUAAUUGAUCAUUUUACUGAACUGCAAGCCUUUGAUUUUACCUGGAAGUUUAACCGAGCAUGUACAAAUAGCCAACUUCAUCCUCUGUCUCAGUUGCUCCAGAGAUCCUGCUUUCCUCCCGCUGCAUCAAGAUUUUAUCCCAGGUCCGAUGUUCCUGUGACAGCCAGGCGAACCCCCCUCCCUCCCUGCUUUGGGAGUUAGCCGGAGAGCCUGUCAAUCACUCUGCGGACAUCCCGAUCCAGGAAGUUCCCCUGGGAGACCUGAGCAUGAGGAGCGUCAUCACCUUGUACCGCCUGGACGAACACAUGCCCUCUCUCGUCUGCGUCAGCAUCAACUCGCUGGGCUCUGAUAGUGUUGUGUUCAACGUGACCGCCAGUGAAACUCAGCUAGGUAGAGGAAUGUUUGAAGUGUUGCAUUUACACUUGGCUUUUCUUCUGUGUGAUCUGCCCCUCCUUGGUUUGACUGAUGGAUGAAAUGGUUUGUCGGGACUUUUCAGGUCUCCACACUGUGUCUCUGUUGAUCGGCUCUGCAGUAGGAGCUCUGGGGAUGCUGCUGGUGUGUGUCCCGCUGCUGCUUUUCUACUGCAGGAAAAGGAAAGGCAGCCUUUCACCUGACAAGGGACCGGUGGACACUUCGGACAUUUUAGCUAAUGGGAAAAGCUCUUCACCAGUGGAUGUGAUCUAUGCCAAUGCAGCCAUUGUAGAACAGGAAGCUGCAGCUAACGAGGACUCUAUCCACUACGCCAACGUGACUUUUGCUAAACUCCAGGCCAACUCAGAGAGCAAGCUCAGUGAGGGCGAGAUCCGAGGCCUGGACUCCAAGACCGGGGAGUACGCUCAGAUCCGUUUGAAGCCCAAGGAACGCAGGGGAGGAGAUGCAACAAAUGGAGAGACAGCUGCUGAUACUCAUCUGGGUCAAGAGAAAGACACUGAUGGUCUCAUAGGACAGGUCAGUGAAAAGGUUUUGGCUUAA
rnacentral:lncRNA from 1 species